rnacentral:lncRNA from 1 species
AACAGAGCUCUAGUGCUCUACACAGUUAUGCAAAACAAUGUUACAAACUUGGAGAGCAAUCAGUGAUCAAUCCAAAUCGCUGAAACAGGGAAUCAAGUACUAAGAUUGGCUUUCAUAUAUAGAAACAAGACACUAAGAUCAUUGGCGUAUUUUUAGCAGCUACCUGGAUCCAGUUCAGCAGUGCAACUUUACAAUACAUUCCUCGUCAAGGACAAAGGGUUCUUUAGCCUACUCUUACCUGAUUUGCUUCUACUGUCAUUCCUCAGCGGUGUCAAGUAGAAUCUCAUCAGACCAUUAUCCACAUUGUUCUGACUAGGCGAAUACCUAGCGCUCUUAUUCCUCAUCAGCAUCAGCUGGUCUCUCCUCUGCGGCGUGCUGCCAUCUUUAUUAUUCUCAAAACUGCCAUUAUUCCUGCCCAUGACCACAUCGCAUGACUUCCUCGCACUAAUGGUACAGCUCCUCGUAAACUUCUCGCCUUCUUCGCUAGCCAACGAUCGAUUAAGUACGCUACCACUGCUGCUGCUCUCUCCAUCCCCAAACUUGCUCUCGC